AGCAGCCGCGGUAAUUCCAGCUCCAAUAGCGUAUAUUAAAGUUGUUGCAGUUAAAAAGCUCGUAGUUGAAUUUCGGGAUCAAGGAAUCGGUCAUGCCUCGGUAUGUACUGGUUUUAUUGGUUCUCACCUUCUAAAGAACCAUGAUGUCAUUCAUUUGAUGUUAUGGGGAAUUAGGACUGUUACCUUGAAAAAAUUUAGAGUGUUUAAAGCAGGCUUACGCUUGAAUACAUUAGCAUGGAAUAAUGAAAUAGGACAUCAGAUUCUAUUUUGUUGGUUUCUAGGAUCGAUGUAAUGAUUAAUAGGGAUAGUUGGGGGCAUUAGUAUUCAAUUGUCAGAGGUGAAAUUCUUGGAUUUAUUGAAGACUAACUACUGCGAAAGCAUUUGCCAAGGAUGUUUUCAUUAAUCAAGAACGAAAGUUAGGGGAUCGAAGACGAUCAGAUACCGUCGUAGUCUUAACCAUAAACUAUGCCGACUAGGGAUCGGAUGAUGUUAAUUUUUUAAUGACUCAUUCGGCGCCUUA
rnacentral:misc_RNA from 1 species